rnacentral:lncRNA from 1 species
CUAAUGCCCUGUUUCUCAAAAUCCUUUACAAAAGGAGGUAGAUUCAUAAAUUAACAGUUCAAGGUCUGGUAUUUUAAUGUUACUUUUUUUUCUUCUUUUGCUUUUUGUCUGCUUCCAGUUUAAGCUUAACUUCUUCAGCUGUAAGGGCUCCAAGUUUCUUAUUCUUUGCUUUCUUAACCUUUUCCUUGAUGGUAGCCACAUCAAUUUUAGUUUCAGUAGACGCUUCCUUAGGUUUUGCAACAGGCUUUUCUUUAGGUGGAAUAAAUGCUUUAUUUCUUGCCUCUUGUCUCUUACUGAGAGCUUCUGCUUGUUUAGCCUUUAUUGCUUCCAUUUUCUGUCACUUCUGAUUUGCCUUCAAAAAGUAUUCACCAUUAGCCAAUUCUCUGUCAACCUGACUUUCUGGCUGUGGUGGUGGGAAUGGUGCAUACUCUUUCUUUACAGUUUUCUUCUUUGGUUCUUUGCGUUUAUUCACAUUUUUGUGUUUGAACUGUGGCAAAAAGCUUUCCCAACUUUGUGAUCGUAAUUCAGAAUCUUUUGCCAACUCUUGUUUAAUCAUUAAGGUCUUUAGUCAUACACAUAUAAAGUAAAAUUUGAUAUUAUAAAUUGGAUGAAUAUUCUUCAUGGUAUCUAAAACUACUUUUCGAACCUCUUUUAAGCCACUAAAAGGUCCAAUGGCUGAAACUGUGUUUCCCUGAACCAUAAUGUAACAGUUUGUUAAGAGUUCCAAUGCCUUCAGAGUAGAUCCUUUGGGACCAAUAAGUGGUUGUCUUCUUUUUACAAAUCUUUACUUCUUACUAGAGAACCUAUUUUAAUGAUGUCACACGCAACAUCAUCCUGAAGAAUUUGUACUGCCUGUUCAAAAGAAACACUUCUUGAUAACAGUUUUAUCAGAUCUCAGGCCCUGAUGAUGAUGUAUGGAUCAUAAGUCUUCUUUGUAGUACAAACAGUCAUGCUGCCCUCAAUCAGGUCCAGGGUUGCAUUAACGUGAUGUUCAUUCAAAGCCUUCUGCACCAAAGGCCAACACUCUUUCAGGUAGGCCUCUCUAUAUUUAGGGAACAAAGUUGCAAAACUGCUCUCCUCCAAGAGUCCUCUGGGAUUGUCCUCUUUAGAAAAAGCUGGUUCCUUCCAACCAUCAGGAACAGUGAGGGGUUCUGAUUCAUCUUGGUUCUCUGGCUUCGGUUUCUGGCUGCGAAAUUCAUUUCCUCAGGUGCUGCAGUUGUCCCGUUCUUCGAGGAGGACGCCAUUUUCAAACUGCUUCCCUUGGGUUAGUAAUUAUGCCUCCGUGUUCAUCCGGCUGAAAAAGAGCUUGGACCAUCCAGGGGCCUAAUGUCUCCUAUGAGCUGAGGAGCUUAGUUGUUGGAUGAUGAAAGGUGGGCGGCUGUUUUCCACUAGCCAACUAACAUCACUACGCCUCUAUGUUCUUAGUUGAAGUAAAAAAAUAAUGCCCAAUUUGUGCAGUGGAGGAAAUGAAAAAUGUUAACAUCUAAUAGAAAAAUGAAAUUUUAUUUCAUCUUAGGGAGCAAUGAUUUAGAGGUCAAAAACACACAAUGUAGGGGUCGGGAUUUAGCUCAGUGGUUUCGCCGCCUGCUACGCAAGCGCAGGGACCUGAGUUCAAUCCCGGUACCAAAACAACAACAACAACAAAAAAACCCACACAUAAUGUAGCUGGGGGGUUUAGUUAAAUGGUUCCGCUGCCUGCCUCACAAGCACAAGGUCCCGAGUUCAAUCCCCAGAACCCAAUAAGUAAAUAAAAACAAAAAUACACAAUGUAAAUAUUUUAUCUCCAGCAAUACUUAAAUGUAUGUUUUUUAUGAUCUAAAAGUUAGGGCCGGGGAUUUAGGUCAGUGGUUUUGCCGUCUGCUGCACAGGCUCAAGGAUCCAAGUUUGAUCCCCGGUAAAAAAAAAAAAAAAAAAAAAAAAAAAAAAGUUAAAAAAAGUACAAGAACUCUCAACAGUGUUGCAAUAGAUGCUGGGUAGACGCCCAUAGCAAGAAUGAAUUAGAAGUAAGCCAGGCAUGCCUUUAAUUCCAGAAUGGAGGCUGAGGCAGAAGGAUCCUGGUCAGUUCUAGUCCAGCAUGAACUACAUACAUACCGAGGCUGUUACGUUUGUUUUUAAUGUCCCCCAAAGCCUUAUGCGGACUUUCUUUUUCAGAGGUAGUUGAAUCUGGAAUGUGUGAUGCUGGGAUUAAUGGCGUGUGAUUACUAAACCACUACAUGUGAGUGAUUAGUUUGGCACCGCCCUAAUUCUGGUAAUCUGAAUAAGAUAAAAGGGGCAGAAAGAUGCUGUUAAACUGUCCCUUGUUGCCUUUGCUACCUUGUAGCGCCAUGUUGUUUCUCCUCUGCAAUGUCUGUUUUGCCAUCCCUGCCUUGCAGCCAGCUAACUAUGGACUGAAACCUACGAACUAAAAAACAAGGACGAAUUAGAACUAAUAAUGACACGACAGAGAAGGAAGUAACCUGGACCCUGGAAAACAGAGGGCAGACUCCUCCUUCCCCUGGCUCCUGAUGCUAAAGUAUCAGGACCACAGUUGCUCCUGCAGUUACAUCCCCAGCCCCAACCCUGGAAACCGAGC